AUAUUACUCAGCGGAGGAAAAGAAACUAACUAAGAUUGCCCCAGUAACUGCGAGUGAAGAGGCAAGAGCUCAACUUUAAAUCGCUCAUCCCAGGGUGAGAGAAUUGUAAGCUCAGGGGUCGGACUUAGGUUUGAUUGACGCAUAAGUGCCUAGGAUUAGGCUGCCAUAGAGGGUGAAAGCCCCGUACAUGGCGUCGAUUGGACUGAGGGAAGGCUUCUCAGAGUCGGGUUGUUUGGUAAUGCAGCCCUAAAUUGGAGGUAAACAUCUUCUAAAGCUAAAUAUGAAUGGGAGACCGAUAGCGCACAAGUA
rnacentral:rRNA from 1 species